AAUCCUGGUUGAAGAUGGGUGGACCAUCAUCCAAGGCUAAAUACUACUUACUGACCGAUAGUGAACCAGUACCGUGAGGGAAAGGUGAAAAGAACCCCGGAGAGGGGAGUGAAAUAGAAUCUGAAACCGUUUGCGUACAAGCAGUGGGAGCAUGGUUUAGGCUGUGUGACUGCGUACCUUUUGUAUAAUGGGUCAGCGAGUUACUUUCAGUGGCGAGGUUAACUGAAUAAGGGAGCCGUAGAGAAAUCGAGUCUGAAUAGGGCGAUAGUCGCUGGGAGUAGACCCGAAACCGGGCGAUCUAGCCAUGUGCAGGAUGAAGGUUGGGUAACACCAACUGGAGGUCCGAACCGGGUAAUGUUGAAAAAUUAUCGGAUGACGUGUGGCUAGGAGUGAAAGGCUAAUCAAGCCCGGAGAUAGCUGGUUCUCCCCGAAAGCUAUUUAGGUAGCGCCUCGUGAAUGAUUACUGGGGGUAGAGCACUGUUUCGGCUAGGGGGCUGUCAUGGCUUACCAAACCGAUGCAAACUCCGAAUACCGGCUAAUUGAAUCACGGGAGACACACGGCGGGUGCUAACGUCCGUCGUGGAGAGGGAAACAACCCAGACCGCCAGCUAAGGUCCCCAAGUACUAGUUAAGUGGGAAACGAUGUGGGAAGGCAUAGACAGCCAGGAGGUUGGCUUAGAAGCAGCCACCCUUUAAAGAAAGCGUAAUAGCUCACUGGUCGAGUCGGCCUGCGCGGAAGAUGUAACGGGGCUAAAACUAGUCACCGAAGCUGCGGAUGUGCGCGAAGGCGCACGUGGUAGGGGAGCGUUCUGUAGGCUGAUGAAGGUGCAUUGAGAAGUGUGCUGGAGGUAUCAGAAGUGCGAAUGCUGACAUGAGUAACGAUAAUGUGGGUGAAAAGCCCACACGCCGGAAGUCCCAGGUUUCCUGCACGACGUUAAUCGGAGCAGGGUGAGUCGGCCCCUAAGGCGAGGCUGAAGAGCGUAGUCGAUGGGAACCAGGUUAAUAUUCCUGGACUUUUUAUAAGUGGUGAAGUGGGGACGAAGAAGGCUAGGUGAGCCAGGCGUUGGUUGUCCUGGUACUUGCAUGUAGGGGGGAAGACUUGGCAAAUCCGGUUUUCCAUAACUCUGAGGUGCGAAGUGGUUCUGACCUUUUGGUACAGAGAAGUCAUUGAUGCCCGGCUUCCAGGAAAAGCUGCUAGCCAUAACUUAUAGAGAACCGUACCGCAAACCGACACAGGUGGACAGGUAGAGAAUACUAAGGCGCUUGAGAGAACUCGGGUGAAGGAACUAGGCAAAAUGGUACCGUAACU
rnacentral:rRNA from 2 species